CGUGGGGGAUAGACUCCCCCACGAACAGGAGUGGGGACACCACAGCCUGGACUGUGGUGGGCAGAACUUCCUUAGGCAGUCUAAGGAGGGACUGAGUGAGGCUGGAUCCCUUUGGUUCCUGGAGGCCGUUUGGGUCUGUUUGACAACUUCCUGCGCCUGCGGCUGCGAGACUCCAGCCUGGGCGCUGUGUGUGCGGCCCUCGACUGGCUGGCCUUCGAUGACCUGCUGGCGGGGGCUGCUCACCACAGCCAGAGCUUCCAGCUGCUGCGCUAUCCGCCCUUCCUGCCCGUGGCCUUCCACGUGCUCUUUGCUUCCAGCCACACACCCAGGAUCACCUUCCCCAGCAGCCAGCAGGAGGCCCAGAACCGGAUGAGCCAGAUGAGGAACCUUAUCCAGACGCUGGUGUCCGGCAUUGCGCCAGCUACGCGCAGCCGGGCCACGCCCCAGGCCCUGCUCCUGGAUGCCCUCUGCCUGCUCCUGGACAUUCUUGCGCCCAAGCUCCGCCCCGUGAGCACGCAGCUGUACAGCACCCGUGAGAAGCAACAGCUGGCCAGCCUGGUGGGCACGAUGCUCACUUACAGCCUGACCUACCGCCAGGAGCGCACGCCCGAUGGCCAGUACAUCUACAGGCUGGAGCCGAACGUGGAGGAACUCUGCCGCUUCCCUGAGCUGCCUGCCCG
rnacentral:sRNA from 1 species